rnacentral:lncRNA from 1 species
GCCCGGGGCUGAGGUCUGGCUCACGGGUCUCGCGUUCCGUGCAGCUUCAGAUCGCAGCGCGCUCCCUGACGCACCGACGGGGCAGCCAUGAGCACGUGGGUAUUACGAUUCAAAAGGGAAACAGACGGCAAAGUGGGCGGGCACGCUCCAGGGGACUGCAGGGUCAGACUGGGUGCUCUGCAGGUCGGACUGCACGGUCUAGGGCUUUCGUUUCCAGGACCUGCUGCCUCUCCUGGUGAGAAGACUGUGCUGCCCCACUGACGAGUCACUGGCCUUGCUCGGGCCGUCGGCCUGUGCGUGGAGAUGGCAGGGGCCGCUUCUCGGGGAGAGUUUGGAGCCAGCGUGUUAUCUGCCACGUGUACCCUCUUUCCCCUCUGUCACUGAGCUCUGACCACCCUGUGAUGGAUGUGGGAAUUCAGGGAAGU